UACGUAGGGUGCAAGCGUUAAUCGGAAUUACUGGGCGUAAAGCGUGCGCAGGCGGUUUUGUAAGUCUGACGUGAAAGCCCCGGGCUCAACCUGGGAAUUGCGUUGGAGACUGCAAGGCUUGAAUCUGGCAGAGGGGGGUAGAAUUCCACGUGUAGCAGUGAAAUGCGUAGAGAUGUGGAGGGACACCGAUGGCGAAGGCAGCCCCCUGGGUCAAGAUUGACGCUCAUGCACGAAAGCGUGGGGAGCAAACAGG
rnacentral:rRNA from 1 species